AGCGAACGCUGGCGGCAGGCCUAACACAUGCAAGUCGAACGGACCCUUCGGGGUUAGUGGCGGACGGGUGGGUAACACGUGGGAACGUGCCUUUAGGUUCGGAAUAGCUCCUGGAAACGGGUGGUAAUGCCGAAUGUGCCCUUCGGGGGAAAGAUUUAUCGCCUUUAGAGCGGCCCGCGUCUGAUUAGCUAGUUGGUGGUGUAACGGACCACCAAGGCGACGAUCAGUAGCUGGUCUGAGAGGAUGAUCAGCCACAUUGGGACUGAGACACGGCCCAAACUCCUACGGGAGGCAGCAGUGGGGAAUCUUGCGCAAUGGGCGAAAGCCUGACGCAGACAUGCCGCGUGAAUGAUGAAGGUCUUAGGAUUGUAAAAUUCUUUCACCGGGGACGAUAAUGACGGUACCCGGAGAAGAAGCCCCGGCUAACUUCGUGCCAGCCGCCGCCGUAAGAC
rnacentral:rRNA from 1 species